AUUGAACGCUGGCGGCAGGCCUAACACAUGCAAGUCGAACGAGUGGCGGACGGGUGAGUAAUGUAUGGGAAACUGCCUGAUGGAGGGGGAUAACUACUGGAAACGGUAGCUAAUACCGCAUACCACCAGAUCGGCCCAGAGGGGAUUAGCUAGUUGGGGGGGUAACGGCUCACCAAGGCGACGCUCCCUAGCUGGUCUGAGAGGAUGACCGGCCACCCUGGAACUGAGCCACGGUCCAGACUCCUACGGGAGGCAGCAGUGGGGAAUAUUGCACAAUGGGCGCAAGCCUGAUGCAGCCAUGCCGCGUGUGUGAAGAAGGCCUUCGGGUUGUAAAGUACUUUCAGCGGGGAGGCGUUACCCGCAGAUGAAGCACCGGCUAACUCCGUGCCAGCCGCCGCGGUAAUUC
rnacentral:rRNA from 1 species